UGCUCCUUGUAUCCUAUGUCUGUAUUGUGACCAUAGUUCUUCAAUCACUACAAGAAAGCAGGUUAUUAGCGAUGGCUAAAUGCUAUCACUAAUACCCCUUUCUCCAUGUUUAAUAGUAUUAGUGAUGGACUCCAAUCGCUAAUAGUAUUAGUGCGGACUCCCAUCGCUAAUAGUUCAUCGAAAAUAAGAUCAUCGCUAAUAAUCAUUAUUAG
rnacentral:lncRNA from 1 species